GUGUUGAGUGCUCAGGCCUCCGUGUAGGUGGAAAGAAAGAGUCGCCCGAGCAGAAGAAUCCCUGCUCUUUGGCAGGCCGGACUGCAGGGAGUCCCCAGGAGCUCUCUGCCCAGUCCUCCAGUAUCUGGCUGACAGAGCAGCUGUCCACGGAUCGGCCACAGAAGAGCGGCCACUCCCCUGCGCUCUCCAGGUGUCUACUUAGACGGUGGAGUCCAGAGGCUUCCGCCCUGCAGGACACGGAGUGGACACAAAGGUGUUUGCUAACAGGCAAUGGAAGUAAG